ACCCAAUAGGCUAAUAUAGCUAGCUCAGCUGGCUAAGUUAGCUCAUGAUCCAGAUAGCGUUAAGUGAUUUGCUAGCAUAACGCAUAACUUCUAGACCUCCGCGAGAACUUAGAAGUUAGCUACAAAUGUAACGUUAGCUAGCCACUGUAUGUCUCUGACUUUGCAGCAGAAGACGUGUCGCCUGAGUACACAGCAUCAUAUCUUGUGUGCGCGUCCCGUAUCAAACAGAUUACUAUUUUUCCUACGAUAUCUCGCAUUUUGGGGACAGAUAUGAUGCGAGUCAUCAUACCGACGAAGGUAGCCUCCGUCUCUUCACUGUAGAGUGCAUCACGUUAAAGUAAAAAAUAUAAAGGAAUCAAGGAUUGGCAGAGCCAUUGGACCAUGCAGAAAAGCGUUUGCAGCAUUCCUCUAUAGCUGGAAAAAGAGGAAGAAAGCUUGCAUAUGCACAGAAGAAACUACCUGCUGAUUUACUGUGAUUUGGAAUGUACCUCAUUUGUACGUCACUUUGACGGAGAAAGCAUCCACCAAAUGAAUAAAUAUAAUACAUUUACAGUAAAUGAAGUGGUGUGAAAGUAUUAAGUAUCCCAAAAAGAAAUAAGUAAGUAAAGUGAAAGUAUCCUAAAAUUGUACAGUUUGAGUAACUGUACUUAAGGUACCUUGCAUCACUGCAAGAAGAAAUGGGUAAAUAGAAUGUUAACUAAUAUCCUCUUUUUCUAUUUAGAUUUGGUUUAUUUUGUUGCAUAUAUCUACCUUUUGCUAUUGGUUGAUUUUUUUUGUUGUUUUGUUUUUUUGUUCUUUUAGACCACAAAUUGUUGUGCAUAAUCAGAAUGGCACUUAACGUGCAUUCUUUAGUACAAAUUGAGCAUUUCCAAACUUUGCAUGGAAAUGAUUGCAUGCAUGGUUUACAAAUUUCCUUUUUUGUACAAAGUGUUGAUAAAUGUGUGCCCUGGACACAAUGUGACUUGAAGCCUGUUCUUGCAUUGUUUGAAGGGGCAAUAUAUAAGAUUUGGCCAGAAUCUUAGCUUAAAACAUAAAAAAAUUAACUGACCUUAUCAACAGAAUGUGAGCUGUUGACCUUAUCAGCAGCGCUGACGUCCUUGCUUUUUUAGUCUAAUAAAUAAACUAAAUAAACUCUCAAUGUCAAGAAAGGAAAUAUUCUUAUACCUGUUUUCCAUAUCAAACAGAAAAAUACAACCGUACACCUUCUGCAUUCUCGUUUCUCUCUUUCACCAAUCUAUUACGUUGUAAAACUUUCAAUUCAAUUCUGUUUUAUUUAUAUACCGCUAAUUCAUAACAGAAGUUAUCUCAUUGCUCUUUUCCUAUAGAGCAGGUCUAGACCGUACUCUUUAUAGUAUUAAUUACACCCAAGAAAUCCCACCAUGAGCAAGCAUUUGGCGACAGUGGCAAGCAGAAACUUCCUUUAAGAGGCAGAAACCUUGGACAGAACCAGACUCAAUGACGGCUGCUGCCGUGUUAGGUUUUGAGAGAGAGACAGAGAGAGGAGGGGUUUGGGGGAAGGGGAUAGGGUUAGGGAUGCACAAAACUCACUUCAUUCAAACUCAACAAACAAUAUAAAACUCACCAAAACUGUCUUGGUUAGUCUUUUAACUGUUCCAACAAUCACCAACUCUGGUUUGGUCAAAAGAAAUCUAAUGCUCCGCGUUAGAUGUGAAAAAUAUUCUGGAUCUACAUGCUGUCGCUGCCUCUCUGAUGCCCGACCUCCCUCUCACUCCUCUCGGCUUGACGUCUGUCUUGAUCCCGCCAUGUCUUCAUCAUACCCGGAGUCCUGGUCGGAGCCGCUGUAAAUCACCUCGGUACUGUAUUCCCUGUGAUCAAACUGCUCUCCGUCGGUCUCUGAGGCUGUGUUCGGUCCCGGUGUGGCUGCGUUCACUGGGAGGCUGUUGAUCCCCGUCCGUUGCCUGCUCGCUCGGCUCCGGUUCUGGUGCUCAGUCAGCUAAUAGCUGAGUAACUAAGUUAGCUGCACGGCUAAAUGAGCUAACUAGUUAAUGGCAGCUUGCAGCAGUUAUGACAUGCCCCCUAUUGAUUUGGAGUAUGAAUUUGGGAGGUGGAGAGUAGUCUCAAUUCUAACAUAUUGCCCCUUUUAACACUGAUGUUCUUCUAGCAAAAGAAAGUGAAACUGCCCUUUUCCCUAGACAAAAAAAAAAAUCUCAUUAGAAAAUGUGGAGAGAAAGAGGUUGAUGACUUAUGGAGCCAGGACAGUGACUUUGACCGUAACUAUAGGUGAAAUAAAGGGUUUACUUUUGCACAUCCACUUGACAAUUUCAUGUCUCAUGUACUUGGUAUGCAUUGUAUCAUUUCUUUCAUUUAUACAAUGUGUAUUAACCUAUGGUAAUGUUUUCCUGUUGCUGUGUUUUGUUUUAUUCCACAAAGGGAAUUCAACAGUGUCACUACAAAAUAUAUCAGAAGGUGAAAAGAA